GGAAAAUCCAGACAGAAAUGUUUACUGGCUGGAGCAACUUCAUGAACCAGGGACACUGGAAGGCUGGAUAUGCAAUAGUCACUCAUCAGGAGGUCCUAGAAGCAGAAGCCCUCCCUCCAGGUCAUGCCCUUCACAGACAACGGGAAGCACAAGGACAAAAUCAUCCAGACACAGGGUGGCUAUGGAGGCCAAAGCCCUACUUUUCCACUCAAGAGUGUUCUUGUGAACCUUUAACUGAUGUAAAGUAACUUUUCAGGAAAAAAGAAAAAAGACAAACAAUUCAAUGGAGGGGACUCUUGAAUCUCCAGAUAAAUAGGAAGCUGCUCCUGUCCCUUUAACCAGCCUCUGCCUGUCAGGUUGAGAGGCCAGAGCAGAUGACAGCCGGAGAUGGAUUACCCAAGAUCCUGAACCAAGCCUGUAUAACAUGUUCC
rnacentral:lncRNA from 1 species